rnacentral:tRNA from 1 species
GCCUAGUUAGGUGAGAGGUUAGAGCGUCUGCCUUGUAAGCGCUAGGUCGCGGGUUCAAUUCCCGCCCGGGGCG